AUUGAACGCUGGCGGCAUGCCUUACACAUGCAAGUCGAACGGUAACAGGUCUUCGGAUGCUGACGAGUGGCGAACGGGUGAGUAAUACAUCGGAACGUGCCCGAUCGUGGGGGAUAACGAAGCGAAAGCUCUGAUAAUACCGCAUAAGAUCUACGGAUGAAACGAGGGGACCGCAAGGCCUUGCGCGAACGGAGCGGCCGAUGGCAGAUUAGGUAGUUGGUGGGAUAAAAGCUUACCAAGCCGACGAUCUGUAGCUGGUCUGAGAGGACGACCAGCCACACUGGGACUGAGACACGGCCCAGACUCCUACGGGAGGCAGCAGUGGGGAAUUUUGGACAAUGGGCGCAAGCCUGAUCCAGCCAUGCCGCGUGCAGGAUGAAGGCCUUCGGGUUGUAAACUGCUUUUGUACGGAACGAAAAGACUCUGGUUAAUACCUGGGGUCCAUGACGGUACCGUAAGAAUAAGCACCGGCUAACUACGUGCCAGCCGCCGCCGUAACAC
rnacentral:rRNA from 1 species